GAUCUUCUUGCAGUCCAUGGGACUCUCAAGAGUCUUCUCCAGCACCAGAAUUCAAAAGCAUCCAUUCUUUGGCGAUCAGCCUUCUUUAUGGUCCAGCUCUCGCUUCCAUACAUCACUACAGUGGUACCUCAGGUUACAUACGCUUCAGGUUACAGACUCUGCUAACCCAGAAAUAGUGCUUCAGGUUAAGAACUUUGCUUCAGGAUGAGAACAGAAAUCGUGCUCCAGCGGUGUGGCAGCAGCAGGAGGCCCCAUUAGCUAAAGUGGUGCUUCAGGUUAAGAACAGUUUCAGAUUAAGAACGGACCUCCGGAACGAAUUAAGUACUUAACCCCAGGUACCACUGUACUGGGAAAACCAUAGCUUUAGCUAUACGGACCUUUGUUGGCAAGUAUUCAGAAGGAUCUUGUUUAUGUGUAGCGGAGCGUUCAGCUACACAGGAAGUAUGAAGUGUUCUACCCUGGAAACACAGGCUUGCUGCCUCAACUAACAGCAGGGUGGCUGCUCUGAAGUGUCACCCGCUGCCCCCCAAGUAAUGGCACAGGGUAGCAGCCGCGAUCUCUGCAAUUUAGGAACCUAGAAACACAUUGCAAAAAAUCAGUCCAUACAAAUUUGAUAAAGCUUGCUUCUACACACACACAGGCCAUUACUGUAGGCACUUGCCCCAACUUUUGCUACCCAGCUCUUAUUCAAAGUGCAAAACAUAAAAGAUUCCACAGAAUUUGCCUGUUCUGCAUUUCAAAGCCUAUUGAACAUAAGCACUUUUUUGUUUUGUUAAAAAUACACAUAUCUCACCAUCCCAUUAUUGUAUUUGUAUUUUAAAGACUGUUAAAGGCCCCUAUUUAAAUGAAGUGCUCAGCAUCUCAUGAUGGCUCCCGUUGUACUAUUACCCAGCCCUAUGAGUGUUUUCUGCAGCGAUCAAUCAAGCUAGAAGACCAAUUGGAGAAUUUACAAAGAAUGAAUAUGUUUUAACCUAUUAUUUGUGGCAACUUUUUAUGUGCAAGAAUAAAUGGGAUUUAUUUAUUUUGAA